CGCUAUCAUCCUACGGGAGGCAGCAGUGGGGAAUAUUGCACAAUGGGCGCAAGCCUGAUGCAGCCAUGCCGCGUUGUAUGAAGAAGGCCUUCGGGUUGUAAAGUACUUUCAGCAGUGAGGAAGGUGUUGUCGUUAAUAGCGGCAUCAUUUUGACGUUAGCUGCAGAAGAAGCACCGGCUAACUCCGUGCCAGCAGCCGCGGUAAUACGGAGGGUGCGAGCGUUAAUCGGAAUUACUGGGCGUAAAGCGCAUGCAGGUGGUUUGUUAAGUCAGAUGUGAAAGCCCGGGGCUCAACCUCGGAAUUGCAUUUGAAACUGGCAGACUAGAGUACUGUAGAGGGGGUAGAAUUUCAGGUGUAGCGGUGAAAUGCGUAGAGAUCUGAAGGAAUACCGGUGGCGAAGGCGGCCCCCUGGACAGAUACUGACACUCAGAUGCGAAAGCGUGGGGAGCAAACAGGAUUAGAUACCCUGGUAG
rnacentral:rRNA from 1 species